CUUCACCGACCCCAACAACAACGGCCGGUCCGCUGCACGGUCCCGCCCAUAGGUAGCCAGUAGUGCCUGGGCCUC
rnacentral:antisense_RNA from 1 species